rnacentral:rRNA from 1 species
GGUGAACGCUGGCGGCGUGCUUAAGACAUGCAAGUCGAACGGCAGUCUUCGGACUGUAGUGGCGCACGGGUGAGUAACGCGUAACUGACCUACCCCAAAGUCGCGGAUAACGAUUCGAAAGAAUCGCUAAUACGUGAUGUGCUGUCAGAUUGUGUUCUGCCAGUAAAGAUUGAUUGCUUUGGGAUGGGGUUGCGUUCCAUCAGCUAGUUGGUGGGGUAAAGGCCCACCAAGGCGACGACGGAUAGCCGGCCUGAGAGGGUGGCCGGCCACAGGGGCACUGAGACACGGGUCCCACUCCUACGGGAGGCAGCAGUUAGGAAUCUUCCACAAUGGGCGAAAGCCUGAUGGAGCGACGCCGCGUGAGGGAUGAAGGUCUUCGGAUCGUAAACCUCUGAAUCAGGGACGAAAGACACUUCGGUGGGAUGACGGUACCUGAGUAAUAGCACCGGCUAACUCCGUGCCAGCAGCCGCGGUAAUAC